GGGCUCCCCGGCUUCCUGCCUCUCUGAAUUCCUCCUCCAGACCCUCAAGGCUCCCUGCUCAUUCCCUCUGGGGUCCUGAGGUCUCCAAGGGCCACUCUGGCUUCCCCCCUGCAGACCCACCCUCCUAGGGGAACAGGGUGACCCCACACAGACACUGAUGGGACAAGAGAACCAGCCCUGCAGAAAGCCUCCAGCGUGUCCAUGGGCCCAGUGCCUGGCGUGUCCUCCCUGGGAGCUUGCUGGACGCAUGACCAGGAUUCUGGGAGGGCAGAGGACAGACCACAGGCACCCAGGAUAACUCAGUACACAUGGGUUCUCAGCUUCCUGUUCACAGAGAAACCUCAGACAAGAAGCACGUCGCCCAUUUCUCAUCAAGGCCAACCCCAGACCACGAGAGCGCUUUCUCUGCGUCAGCCCCAGCACCCCAGCGCCCCUGCCUCCGGGCGCCCGCGGCCUCCGCAC
ensembl:lncRNA LINC02870 long intergenic non-protein coding RNA 2870